GUACACACCGCCCGUCGCUACUACCGAUUGAAUGGUUUAGCAAGGUCAUUGGAUUGGUGCCAGUGGCUGUUUCUGACAGCCGAUGGUACCGAGAAGACGACCGAACUUGAUCAUUUAGAGGAAGUAAAAGUCGUAACAAGGUYUYCGUAGGUGAACCUGCAGAAGGAUCA
rnacentral:rRNA from 1 species